GAUGAACGCUGGCGGCGUGCCUAAUACAUGCAAGUCGAGCGAACAGACGAGGGGCUUGCUUCUCUGACGUUAGCGGCGGACGGGUGAGUAACACGUGGAUAACCUACCUAUAAGACUGGGAUAACUUCGGGAAACCGGAGCUAAUACCGGAUAAUAUAUUGAACCGCAUGGUUCAAUAGUGAAAGACGGUUUUGCUGUCACUUAUAGAUGGAUCCGCGCCGCAUUAGCUAGUUGGUAAGGUAACGGCUUACCAAGGCAACGAUGCGUAGCCGACCUGAGAGGGUGAUCGGCCACACUGGAACUGAGACACGGUCCAGACUCCUACGGGAGGCAGCAGUAGGGAAUCUUCCGCAAUGGGCGAAAGCCUGACGGAGCAACGCCGCGUGAGUGAUGAAGGUCUUCGGAUCGUAAAACUCUGUUAUUAGGGAAGAACAAAUGUGUAAGUAACUAUGCACGUCUUGACGGUACCUAAUCAGAAAGCCACGGCUAACUACGUG
rnacentral:rRNA from 1 species